rnacentral:tRNA from 1 species
CGCGGGGUGGAGCAGUCUGGUAGCUCGUCGGGCCCAUAACCCGAAGGUCGUUGGUUCAAAUCCAGCUCCCGCAA